GGCAGUCACCCGUUUGUCGGUAUAGGAGUGUCUCCAUUGACGUCAAAUGUUUAAUGUCGGCUUGUUGUGUAGUAUUAUGUUUGGAAGUGAGCACAGAAGGUUAAUCGUAUUAGACAACAACACUAUCGGCGACGACAGAAUAAGGUUUUCUAUUGACAGUUUCGGUAAUGUUCAAGGUUUCCCCCUUUGGACGAACAACGACGGCGGGCCACGGGGUAUGGCAAACCGAUAAAUCAAUACAAAACAAAUUAUCGCACUCGGUUAAGAAAUGUUUGCACAUUAAACGCGCAACAAGCAUUACACUCUUCGAUAUUCCUGCGUCAUUGUUUCAUUGUAAACACUUCUACAUAACCCGUUCGGAGGUUAUUGUAAAUGUAAUUGUAAUGUAUGGAACAUUAAUUAUGAAAUCUGUUAAUAUAUUGGAGAAGUCAAAAUGAGCCAAGAAGGGCGAUAAUGGAGCAGAAUCCGUGUGGAAAAAGAUCUUUGAGAAGGCCUAGAACGAGAUAGCAAGUUACUUGGUGGAGGUCCAAAUUGGAAAGAGAAGACAUCAUAUAGAAAAGGAUAGAGGAUUGGAUGUUAGAUGGGAUGUCUCAAAGACCUAUAUAAACCAGAAAAAGGAGAAGAAUAAAUAUUUUUCCUUUAUUUUGUAUUGCUAAUUCUUCUAUCUACUAAUAUCCUAAUAUAU